UCGGGAAUUUUGGGCAAUGGGCGAAAGCCCGACCCAGCAACGCCGCGUGAGGGAUGAAGUAUUUCGGUAUGUAAACCUCGAAAGAAUGGGAAGAAUAAAUGACGGUACCAUUUAUAAGCUCCGGCUAACUACGUGCCAGCAGCCGCGGUAAUACGUAGGGAGCAAGCGUUGUUCGGAUUUACUGGGCGUAAAGGGCGCGUAGGCGGCGCGGUAAGUCACUUGUGAAAUCUCGGAGCUUAACUCAGAACGGCCGAGUGAUACUGCUGUGCUAGAGUGCGGAAGAGGCAACCGGAAUUCUUGGUGUAGCGGUGAAAUGCGUAGAUAUCAAGAGGAACACCUGAGGCGAAGGCGGGUUGCUGGGCCGACACUGACGCUGAUGCGCGAAAGCCAGGGGAGCAAACG
rnacentral:rRNA from 1 species